AACGAACGCUGGCGGCAUGCCUAACACAUGCAAGUCGAACGAGAUCUUCGGAUCUAGUGGCGCACGGGUGCGUAACGCGUGGGAAUCUGCCCCUUGCUUCGGAAUAACAGUGAGAAAUUACUGCUAAUACCGGAUGAUGUCUUCGGACCAAAGAUUUAUCGGCAAGGGAUGAGCCCGCGUAGGAUUAGGUAGUUGGUGGGGUAAUGGCCUACCAAGCCGACGAUCCUUAGCUGGUCUGAGAGGAUGAUCAGCCACACUGGGACUGAGACACGGCCCAGACUCCUACGGGAGGCAGCAGUGGGGAAUAUUGGACAAUGGGCGAAAGCCUGAGCCAGCAAUGCCGCGUGAGUGAUGAAGGCCUUAGGGUUGUAAAGCUCUUUUACCAGGGAUGAUAAUGACAGUACCUGGAGAAUAAGCUCCGGCUAACUCCGUG
rnacentral:rRNA from 1 species